rnacentral:rRNA from 1 species
AUUGAACGCUGGCGUCAGGCCUAACACAUGCAAGUCGAACGAGUGUCUGACGGGUGAGUAAUGUCUGGGAAACUGCCCGAUUGUGGGUGAUAACUACUGGAAACGUUAGCUAAUACCGCAUACCAUCGGAUGUGCCCAGAUUGGAUUAGCUAGUAGGUGGGGUAACGGCUCACCUAGGAGACGAUCCCUAGCUGGUCUGAGAGGAUGACCGGCGACGCGGGAAAUGAGAAACGGUCAAGACGCGUACGGGAGGGAGCAGGGGGGAAUAAGGCACAGUGGGCGCAGGCCAGAUGAAGCCAUGCCGCGUGGAGGAGGAAGGCAUUAGGGUUUUAAAAGACUUACGGCGAGGAGGCGUUACUCGCAGAAGAAGCACCGGCUAACGCCGUGCCAGCAGCCGCGGUAAUAC